GGUCAGCAAGACUACAUCGGCCAAUGUGGGGGUCAUGGGUCCGUGUCCAAACAGGAAUGCGUUGAGAGCAUCAGACCAAAAGUAAGAAGCUGCCAUCACUAACGGUUCAUUCCGUUCCAUUUGGGACAAGGAUAGGUCGAUGCAUUGGCCAAUUUUGAGCUCAUCCCAUUGGAGCUUCUUGCAGGCGGCUAUCCGCUGGUACCAUUCCCUCCAACCAGGAGUUUC
rnacentral:lncRNA from 1 species